GACGUAGGGCGCGAGCGUUGUCCGGAUUUAUUGGGCGUAAAGAGCUCGUAGGCGGUUUGUCGCGUCGUUCGUGAAAACUCACAGCUUAACUGUGAGCUUGCGGUCGAUACGGGCAGGCUAGAGUUCGGUAGGGGAGACUGGAAUUCCUGGUGUAGCGGUGAAAUGCGCAGAUAUCAGGAGGAACACCAAUGGCGAAGGCAGCUCGCUGGGACGGUACUGACGCUGAGGCGCGAAAGCGUGGGGGAGCAAACAGG
rnacentral:rRNA from 1 species